rnacentral:rRNA from 1 species
CCUACGGGGAGCUGCAGUGGGGAAAUAUUGGACAAUGGGCGAAAGCCUGAUCCAGCCAUGCCGCGUGUGUGAAGAAGGCCUUCGGGUUGUAAAGCACUUUCAGUGGGGAAGAAAGCCUUGGGGCUAAUACCCUCGAGGAAGGACAUCACCCACAGAAGAAGCACCGGCUAACUCCGUGCCAGCAGCCGCGGUAAUACGGAGGGUGCGAGCGUUAAUCGGAAUUACUGGGCGUAAAGCGCGCGUAGGCGGUCUGAUAAGCCGGUUGUGAAAGCCCCGGGCUCAACCUGGGAACGGCAUCCGGAACUGUCAGGCUAGAGUGCAGGAGAGGAAGGUAGAAUUCCCGGUGUAGCGGUGAAAUGCGUAGAGAUCGGGAGGAAUACCAGUGGCGAAGGCGGCCUUCUGGACUGACACUGACGCUGAGGUGCGAAAGCGUGGGUAGCAAACAGGAUUAGAUACCCGUGUAGUC